GAUGAACGCUGGCGGCGUGCCUAAAACAUGCAAGUCGAGCGAACGUCAUAGAAGCUUGCUUCUAUGACGUUAGCGGCGGACGGGUGAGUAACACGUGGGCAACCUGCCUGUAAGACUGGGAUAACUUCGGGAAACCGAAGCUAAUACCGGAUAGGAUCUUCUCCUUCAUGGGAGAUGAUUGAAAGAUGGUUUCGGCUAUCACUUACAGAUGGGCCCGCGGUGCAUUAGCUAGUUGGUGAGGUAACGGCUCACCCAUGCAACGAUGCAUAGCCGGCCUGAGAGGGUGAUCGGCCACACUGGGACUGAGACACGGCCCAGACUCCUACGGGAGGCAGCAGUAGGGAAUCUUCCGCAAUGGACGAAAGUCUGACGGAGCAACGCCGCGUGAGUGAUGAAGGCUUUCGGGUCGUAAAACUCUGUUGUUAGGGAAGAACAAGUACGAGAGUAACUGCUCGUACCUUGGCGGUACCUAACCAGAAAGCCACGGCUAACUACGUGCCAGCCGCCGCAGUAA
rnacentral:rRNA from 1 species